rfam:Schistocephalus solidus strain NST_G2 genome assembly, scaffold: SSLN_scaffold0003672
UGGCUCAAUGGUAGAGCGUUCGACUCAAAUACCAAAGGUCGUGGGUUCGAAUCCCAG